rnacentral:misc_RNA from 1 species
AUUUUCUUAGAGAGAGAUUUCUCUCUCCUGUUUCUUGUCUGUCUGCGCCUGAGGCUUUUCUUGUUGCCAUUCAAGCAGUUUCUUUUGCCCCUACGGGCAGGGUAAGCUCUCUUCCGGCCCGGUUGUUGGUUUGACUCUCCUCCCACUAGGUGGUUGUAAAUAUGUCUUUUUUGUAUUCUUCUAGCAGAUUGAGCUUUAAUGAGUGAGAGUCUUUUAUGGAUUUGCCUUGAUUUUGCUACUUCACUUUGCAUGCAAGUGCUGCUCUUCCCCUGGGCUGAAAUCACAGGUGAUGCUUCUAGUUAAAUCUUGGUGACCUAGCCUGUUUCAUAUAGCCAACAAGGUUAUUUGCUUAAGGUAGUCGCCUUUUUAGCUAAUGGUAUCCUUUGAGAUUUAUAGCCGAACUAAGUCCAUUUAAGGCUGAAUCUUAAGGUUGGUUGCCAAAAAAGCUCUGCCAUCAACUCUUCAAUGGAAUGUCCGGUCUGGCUUGCGAUGUUUUCAGUUCCCAUUAUUUACGCUUUCCUUAGGUUCUUUUGGUUACCUAGUUUGAUGGGUUGAACGCUAUUGACUUAGUUUGUGUUUCUUCUUCUAGCGUCGGUGAGGUGGUCUUGUCUUUGUAUGGAGGAUAUAUAUUGUGCAGCUUUUUCUCCAAGAGCAGCGCUGCUUGCCUCUUGCUUCAGUCAGGUCGAUGCCUUUACUGGUCCGCUAUCUAGGUCUAAAGACCUAGGGUUCCUAUUGUUGGAUUUGGGCUUUAGUGUUAUCUGAGUUGAGUCUUUUCUUUGUAAACUGUAAUUGGGCUUCUUUAUUUUAAUCAUGGGCCUAGCCUUGUAUUUUUCUCAGCCC